CCUACGGGAGGCAGCAUGGGGAAUAUUGCACAAUGGGCGCAAGCCUGAUGCAGCCAUGCCGCGUGUAUGAAGAAGGCCUUCGGGUUGUAAAGUACUUUCAGCAGUGAGGAAGGUGGAUAUGUUAAUAGCAUAUUCAUUUGACGUUAGCUGCAGAAGAAGCACCGGCUAACUCCGUGCCAGCAGCCGCGGUAAUACGGAGGGUGCGAGCGUUAAUCGGAAUUACUGGGCGUAAAGCGCAUGCAGGUGGUUUGUUAAGUCAGAUGUGAAAGCCCGGGGCUCAACCUCGGAAUUGCAUUUGAAACUGGCAAACUAGAGUACUGUAGAGGGGGUAGAAUUUCAGGUGUAGCGGUGAAAUGCGUAGAGAUCUGAAGGAAUACCGGUGGCGAAGGCGGCCCCCUGGACAGAUACUGACACUCAGAUGCGAAAGCGUGGGGAGCAAACAGGAUUAGAUACCCUGGUAG
rnacentral:rRNA from 1 species